UGCAGUCGAGCGUCAGAUUGAACGCUGGCGGCAGGCUUAACACAUGCAAGUCGAGCGGGGGAAGGUAGCUUGCUACCGGACCUAGCGGCGGACGGGUGAGUAAUGCUUAGGAAUCUGCCUAUUAGUGGGGGACAACAUCUCGAAAGGGAUGCUAAUACCGCAUACGUCCUACGGGAGAAAGCAGGGGAUCUUCGGACCUUGCGCUAAUAGAUGAGCCUAAGUCGGAUUAGCUAGUUGGUCGGGUAAAGGCCUACCAAGGCGACGAUCUGUAGCGGGUCUGAGAGGAUGAUCGGCCACACUGGGACUGAGACACGGCCCAGACUCCUACGGGAGGCAGCAGUGGGGAAUAUUGGACAAUGGGGGGAACCCUGAUCCAGCCAUGCCGCGUGUGUGAAGAAGGCCAUAUGGUUGUAAAGCACUUUAAGGGAGGAGGAGGCUACUUUAGUUAAUACCUAGAGAUAGUGGACGUUACUCGCAGAAUAAGCACCGGCUAACUCUGUGCCAGCAGCCGCGGUAAUACAGAGGGUGCGAGCGUUAAUCGGAUUUACUGGGCGUAAAGCGUGCGUAGGCGGCUUAUUAAGUCGGAUGUGAAAUCCCCGAGCUUAACUUGGGAAUUGCAUUCGAUACUGGUGAGCUAGAGUAUGGGAGAGGAUGGUAGAAUUCCAGGUGUAGCGGUGAAAUGCGUAGAGAUCUGGAGGAAUACCGAUGGCGAAGGCAGCCAUCUGGCCUAAUACUGACGCUGAGGUACGAAAGCAUGGGCUCCAAACAGGAUUAGAUACCCUGGUAGUCCAUGCCGUAAACGAUGUCUACUAGCCGUUGGGGCCUUUGAGGCUUUAGUGGCGCAGCAUUCGCGAUAAGUAGACCGCCUGGGGAGUACGGUCGCAAGACUAAAACUCAAAUGAAUUGACGGGGGCCCGCACAAGCGGUGGAGCAUGUGGUUUAAUUCGAUGCAACGCGAAGAACCUUACCUGGCCUUGACAUACUAGAAACUUUCCAGAGAUGGAUUGGUGCCUUCGGGAAUCUAGAUACAGGUGCUGCAUGGCUGUCGUCAGCUCGUGUCGUGAGAUGUUGGGUUAAGUCCCGCAACGAGCGCAACCCUUUUCCUUACUUGCCAGCUAAUCGGAUGGGAACUUUAAGGAUACUGCCAGUGACAAACUGGAGGAAGGCGGGGACGACGUCAAGUCAUCAUGGCCCUUACGGCCAGGGCUACACACGUGCUACAAUGGUCGGUACAAAGGGUUGCUACACAGCGAUGUGAUGCUAAUCUCAAAAAGCCGAUCGUAGUCCGGAUUGGAGUCUGCAACUCGACUCCAUGAAGUCGGAAUCGCUAGUAAUCGCGGAUCAGAAUGCCGCGGUGAAUACGUUCCCGGGCCUUGUACACACCGCCCGUCACACCAUGGGAGUUUGUUGCACCAGAAGUAGCUAGCCUAACUGCAAAGAGGGCGGUUACCACGGUGUGGCCGAUGACUGGGGUGAAGUCGUAACAAGGUAGCCGUCAGUAUUAGGCCAGAUGGCUG
rnacentral:rRNA from 1 species